GGCUCCUCAACCACACCAACCUUAACGGAAGAGCAGAGCUGAGGUACGGAAUUCUUAUGGGAAAUAACACUGGCGGCGAUGUUGCGUGAUAUGCCAACAAAUUGGAGAUCACCAUUAGUAUCAUACACAGCAUAUACACCAGAUUCCUUCGGGAAGCUUCCAGCGAUUUCAUCAGACUGCAGAGGCACGGUUAAAGGGUCUGUUUCAGAAAGCUUUUUCAGAGCAGCAACAACGAUGCUCGCAUGGUGGCGAGUGGUGGUUCUGGUUUUGGGACGGAGAGUAAUGGAAGGGAAGCGAAAGGAGGUUUUGGGAAGUGAAUAUGAAGAGAAAGAAGGGGUAUUUUGGGAAGAGAAAAUGGCAGGUUGUGUGAGAAAUGAGAUGUUGAAGGUCG
rnacentral:misc_RNA from 1 species